GUGAUGCCAUGAGACUUUGAGAAUGGCAACUCUGAGGACACCUAUGUCUUGGCAAAGGGAGCUGCUUUUUACAUCUGCAGAUGCAUGAUGGGAAAUGCAAUGAGCUGCUUGUCAGGGAAGAGACAAUUCACGGGAGAGGGCCCACGGAAGCUGUAUACAUUCCCAAUUUACUCCCAGCUCUGCCGUUUUUUAAGGGCUCGGUGGAUCCUCUCGUCUUCUUUUAGGCUUCUGCACAUUGUUGGCAAAUGAUGCAACGUAUAAAAAUACAUUUAUUAAGAGAUAA